GGAGCCCCAUCCCCGAAAUGAGUGGCGCUGCCGGAGGCGAGCCGGAAGUGAGGGGCGUGGCCGCACCUAGGGCCACGCCCACAGCGGAGCAGCUCAGGUUACACCUCGAGGGCGGCCGGAAGUGGCUAUUUUGGACGGGUCUCUGCCGGAAGUGGUGGUUCCUGGGGCUUUGCCACCUGGCUGCGAAUACCGCCCUGUCCGGCCGAGGGUCUCGGAGAGGGUCAUCUCACACCUACCUCGGCGGCGUGGCUAUGCCACGUGCCCGCUCCCAUCCCACAGACUUUAUCCAGGCCCAGGGGCCAGCGCUGGGACUAAUAGAGAUGGCCAUCCCCAAAUGGAUCGAAAUGUCCAGGUACAUCUGACGGAUUUGAAACACUGAACCUCACCCAGUGUUCCCGAUUAUAAGCCGUCACGAGGGCAUCACAGGGAACCCUAAUUCCUUGGCCUGCCUCCUCUGAUUCACCACGGCGCAGCAGGGCUAGUACAUUGCGGGGAAGAGCUCCCUUCAGAGAAGAAACAAUGAACGCUAGAUACCCAGGAGCUGGUGGUCCAUCAUAGUGAUGCAAUCCUGCCAGGCAGGCCAUGUGAGGUCCUUCUGCCCUUGGCCAGAUCCUGAUUUUGCUCUAAAGGAGGAGCCCCUUGUACAGGAUCUCUUACACAGAGACAAUGAGCAAACCAUAUAUGCAAAUAAAUUUCUGACCCACCAUCUGCAUGAGCUGUCCAGAAAACCAAUGCCUUUAUCCAUGAUAAACGCCCUGGAAGCCAGCCUGCUGUCAGGCUCAGAAGAAACCACGUUCCUAUCUCUAGCAACAGUGCAGGAAGCGAAACAAUCACUUUUGUAACCAUCAGCCCAAUAUGGCCAGGACCUGAUGAUGAACUGCCAGCCUCCCCAAUUUUUGUCCCUCUUUCCAAUUUAGGACCAAUGAGAGAAAGUCAAAUAUGCCCCCCUAACUGAUCACAUGGGCUACCCCACUUUUAGUGAGCCCCCUUCCAGCUCCCCAAGUCAACAGUCUCCAGCCAGGGCAUACCUGACGGGUCUCCCCCACACCCAUGAAGCUUCCCCACUCCUCUGAGUGUCUGCCAGAUGGAAAUGAUGCUGACUGACCCCUUUGCUACACCCAGCUGUGAAUCAGUAGCCUCUGCUUGCUCUCCUUUGGGAGCUCCUUGUUUAUUUCCUCACAUUCCAUUCACCUCUGACCACAACAGAAGCAACCCUCCUUGGGAGUGGCAGAAUCUUCCCACACCCUUGCUCGCACCUGAACAAAGACAGCCCUGCCUGCACACCUGUGUGGAGGCCUAGCUUGCUGAAUGCCUUCCUGCACUCUAGAACAAAGAAGCCUUCAUCUUCCACUACCUGUGGGUUUUCUUCUGGCCAAGAGACACAUCUGCAGGCUAUGUUUUCUGGAAGUCAGACUCUGAGAUGCUGGAUUCGUGCGCAGG
ensembl:lncRNA